AAAGGAAUAGUUUAUUUUGAAUAUUAAAUUGUAAAUUUAAAGGUUUUUUCUUUA
rnacentral:tRNA from 1 species